GCAAGUCGAGCGCUUACCUUCGGGUAGGAGCGGCGGACGGGUUAGUAACGCGUGGGAACAUACCCUUCACUAUGGAAUAGCCUCGGGAAACUGAGAGUAAUACCAUAUACGCCCUUUGGGGGAAAGAUUUAUCGAAGAAGGAUUAGCCCGCGUUAGAUUAGGUAGUUGGUGGGGUAAUGGCCUACCAAGCCUACGAUCUAUAGCUGGUUUGAGAGGAUGAUC
rnacentral:rRNA from 1 species